rnacentral:rRNA from 1 species
GGAGUCUAACAUGUGCGCGAGUCACUGGGUUCGACAAACCCAAAGGCGCAAUAAAAGUGAAGUCUGGCUUUGCUCUUAUGAGGGAAGACGGCCGUGCAGCCCGAGGCGGCGGCCCGCACUCCCGGGGCGUCUCGUUCUCACUGCGAGAGGAGGCGCACCCAGAGCGUACACGUUGGUACCCGAAAGAUGGUGAACUAUGCCUGGCGAGGACAAAGUCAGGGGAAACCCUGAUGGAGGUCCGUAGCGAUUCUGACGUGCAAAUCGAUCGUCAAAGCUGGGUAUAGGAGCGAAAGACUAAUCGAACCAUCUAGUAGCUGGUUCCCUCUGAAGUUUCCCUCAGGAUAGCUGGUGUUCAGGAUCGAGACGAGUCUCAUCCGGUAAAGCGAAUGAUUAGAGGCCUUGGGGCCGAAACGACCUCAACCUAUUCUCAAACUUUAAAUGGGUGAGAUCUCCGGCUUGCUCAAAUGAAGCCGGAGGUCACGGAUCAGAAUGCCAAGUGGGCCAAUUUUG